rnacentral:lncRNA from 1 species
AUCUUUAUGCUCCUCGUCUGAGUCAGCCACGGUCCAGCUACAAGGUUGCCUUCUUCAGUACGGUAAUAACAGCUUCAUCGGAAAAUCCGACGAGACUUUACGGUUCAAAAGGUACCUAAAAACAACAAUCGAUUAAGUUAAGUUUCUCCCGCGAAUUUUGUCAUUUUGGUGGGUGUUUUCAGAUGUGGCUCGGGAAUAGAGAGCGGAGGGUUCGACCCGAAUCUAAUGGCAAUGAGAGAUGACUUACUGUCAGCGCUAACGGUACAACCAGGGUUUUACCGAUCGAGUAAAGCCGGAUACAUCGACGGAGACGCUCAAUGCGUCGGGGAUCAGAGCAGCAAAGAAUGUAACGAUUGCGUUAAAAAGACGG